CCUGAACGCUGGCGGCGUGGCUAAGACAUGCAAGUCGCACGGGCCUCGCAAGAGGUCAGUGGCGAACGGGUGAGUAAAGAAUCGCUAACGUACCCCGGACUCUGGGAUAGCUACCCGAAAGGGUGGGUAAUACCAGAUGAUAUAACUUUCCUGCAUGGGAGAGUUCUCAAAGGCCGCCGGCAACGGUGGAACGGUCUGGGAGCGGGCGAUUUCGUAUCAGCUAGUUGGUGAGGAACGGCUCACCAAGGCGACGACGCGUAGCCGGACUGAGAGGUUGGCCGGCCACAUUGGGACUGAGACACUGCCCAGACUCCUACGGGGGGCUGCAGUAACGAAUCUUCCGCAAUGCACGCAAGUGUGACGGAGCGACGCCGCGUGUGGGACGAAGCCCUUC
rnacentral:rRNA from 1 species